CACAAGCGUCUUCAGUUCUAAUGC
rnacentral:siRNA from 1 species